CGCAGGUUCGAAUCCUGCACGACCCACCAGUUUUAGCAUCGAAGACAAGAUGUUAAGCGUGUAGGAUAACGUUGCGUCAGCAACGGCCCGUAGGGCGAGCGAAGCGAGUCAUCCUGCACGACCCACCA
rnacentral:sRNA from 1 species